GUCAGAGUGGUGUAGUGGUUUGAAUGUUAGACUAUGGCUCAGGAGACCAGGGUUUGAUACCCUACUUGGGCA